GAUUAACGCUGGCGGCGUGCCUAACACAUGCAAGUCGAACGAGGUAGCAAUACCUAGUGGCAGACGGGUGAGUAACGCGUGGUCAACCUACCGUUGAGUGGGGAGUAACUAGCCGAAGGUUAGCUAAUACCGCAUACGUCUCCGAGUGGCAUCACUUGGCGAUAAAAGGAAGCAAUCCGCUCGAUGACGGGACCGCGUCCCAUUAGCUAGAUGGUGGGGUAACGGCCUACCAUGGCACCGAUGGGUAGCUGGUUUGAGAGAGCGACCAGCCACACUGGGACUGAGAAACGGCCCAGACUCCUACGGGAGGCAGCAGUGAGGAAUUUUCCGCAAUGGGCGCAAGCCUGACGGAGCGACGCCGCGUGUGGGAAGAAGGCCUCGGUCGUAA
rnacentral:rRNA from 1 species